UACGGGAGGCAGCAGUGGGGAAUAUUGCACAAUGGGCGCAAGCCUGAUGCAGCCAUGCCGCGUGUAUGAAGAAGGCCUUCGGGUUGUAAAGUACUUUCAGUCGUGAGGAAGGUGUUAAGGUUAAUAACCUUAGCAAUUGACGUUAGCGACAGAAGAAGCACCGGCUAACUCCGUGCCAGCAGCCGCGGUAAUACGGAGGGUGCGAGCGUUAAUCGGAAUUACUGGGCGUAAAGGGCACGCAGGCGGUUAAUUAAGUUGGAUGUGAAAUCCCCGGGCUUAACCUGGGAAUGGCAUUCAAGCUGGUUAGCUAGAGUCUUGUAGAGGGGGUAGAAUUCCAUGUGUAGCGGUGAAAUGCGUAGAGAUGUGGAGGAAUACCGGUGGCGAAGGCGGCCCCUGGACAAAGGACUGACGCUCAUGUGCGAAGCGUGGGGAGCAAACGAGGGAUUAGAUACC
rnacentral:rRNA from 1 species